rnacentral:rRNA from 1 species
UACAGAGGUCUCAAGCGUUGUUCGGAUUCAUUGGGCGUAAAGGGUGCGUAGGCGGGCAGGUAAGUCAGAGGUGAAAUCUCCGGGCUUAACCCGGAAGCUGCCUUUGAUACUAUCUGUCUUGAAUAUGGUGGAGGUAAGCGGAAUAUGUCAUGUAGCGGUGAAAUGCUUAGAGAUGACAUAGAACACCCAUUGCGAAGGCAGCUUACUACGCCUAUAUUGACGCUGAGGCACGAAAGCGUGGGGAUCAAACAGG